GAUGAAUGCUGGCGGCGUGCCUAAUACAUGCAAGUCGAGCGGUAGCAGGGCUUCACCGUUCUCUUGGAACUCCGGGCCGAUGGCGGGAGAUUUUCUCGAGGGAACAGUGAAGUUGCUGACGAGCGGCGGACGGCUGAGUAACGCGUGGGAACAUACCCCGAAGUGAGGGAUAACUACUCGAAAGAGUGGCUAAUACCGCAUGUGAUCUUCGGAUUAAAGCAUUUAUGCGCUUUGGGAAUGGCCUGCGUACGAUUAGAUAGUUGGUGAGGUAAAGGCUCACCAAGUCGACGAUCGUUAGAUGGUUUGAGAGGAUGAUCAUCCAGACUGGGACUGAGACACGGCCCAG
rnacentral:rRNA from 1 species